rnacentral:rRNA from 1 species
GACGAAUGCUGGCUGCGUGCUUAACACAUGCAAGUCGAACGGUGAAGGAGGGCUUGCCCUCCGGAUCAGUGGCGAACGGGUGAGUAACACGUGGGCAACCUGCCCCUCACUCUGGGAUAACGCCGGGAAACCGGCGCUAAUACCGGAUACGACCAGGCGCGACAUCUCGCCUGGUGGAAAGAAUUUCGGUGAGGGAUGGGCCCGCGGCCUAUCAGCUUGUUGGUGGGGUAACGGCCCACCAAGGCGACGACGGGUAGCCGGCCUGAGAGGGCGACCGGCCACGCUGGGACUGAGACACGGCCCAGACUCCUACGGGAGGCAGCAGUGGGGAAUAUUGCGCAAUGGGCGAAAGCCUGACGCAGCGACGCAGCGUGAGGGACGAAGGCCUUCGGGUUGUAAACCUCUUUCGGCGGGGACGAAGCGAAAGUGACGGUACCCGCAGAGGAAGCACCGGCUAACUACGUGCCAGCCGCCGCAGUAA